UACGGAGGGUGCCAGGCGUUGUCCGGAUUCAUUGGGUUUAAAGGGUGCGCAGGCGGGCACUUAAGUCGGGGGGUGAAAGACGGUGCUCAACAAUCGCAGUGCCUCGAUACUGGGUGCCUUGGGUGAAGUCGAGGCGGAUGGAAUGCAAGGUGUAGCGGUGAAAUGCAUAGAUACCUUGCAGAACUCCGAUGCGAAGGCAGUCCGCUAGGCUUUAACCGACGCUCAGGCACGAAAGCGUGGGGAUCAAACAGG
rnacentral:rRNA from 1 species